GUCAGCCGGCCGGAGACAGAGACUUCACGACUCCCAGCCUCCUCCUCGCCGCGGCCGCCGCCUCCUCCUUCUCUCCUCCUCCUCUUCCUCCUCCUCCCUCGCUCCCACAGCCAUGUCUGCUUAGACCAGAGCAGCCCCACAGCCAACUCGGGCAGCUGCCGCCGCCACAACAGCAAGGACAGCCGCUGCCGCCGCCCGUGAGCGAUGACAGGAGUGUUUGACAGAAGGGUCCCCAGCAUCCGAUCCGGCGACUUCCAAGCUCCGUUCCAGACGUCCGCAGCUAUGCACCAUCCGUCUCAGGAAUCGCCAACUUUGCCCGAGUCUUCAGCUACCGAUUCUGACUACUACAGCCCUACGGGGGGAGCCCCGCACGGCUACUGCUCUCCUACCUCGGCUUCCUAUGGCAAAGCGCUCAACCCCUACCAGUAUCAGUAUCACGGCGUGAACGGCUCCGCCGGGAGCUACCCAGCCAAAGCUUAUGCCGACUAUAGCUACGCUAGCUCCUACCACCAGUACGGCGGCGCCUACAACCGCGUGCCAAGCGCCACCAACCAGCCAGCUUUCAGCUGGCCGCAUUACAGAGAAGGUUUCAGAAGACUCAGUACCUCGCCUUGCCGGAACGCGCCGAGCUGGCCGCCUCGCUGGGAUUGACACAAACACAGGUGAAAAUCUGGUUUCAGAACAAAAGAUCCAAGAUCAAGAAGAUCAUGAAAAACGGGGAGAUGCCCCCGGAGCACAGUCCCAGCUCCAGCGACCCAAUGGCGUGUAACUCGCCCCAGUCUCCAGCGGUAUGGGAGCCCCAGGGCUCGUCCCGCUCGCUCAGCCACCACCCUCAUGCCCACCCUCCGACCUCCAACCAGUCCCCAGCGUCCAGCUACCUGGAGAACUCUGCAUCCUGGUACACAAGUGCAGCCAGCUCAAUCAAUUCCCACCUGCCGCCGCCCGGCUCCUUACAGCACCCGCUGGCGCUGGCCUCCGGGACACUCUAUUAGAUGGGCUGCUCUCUCUUACUCUCUUUUUUGGGACUACUGUGUUUUGCUGUUCCAGAAAAUCAUAAA
rnacentral:sRNA from 1 species